ensembl:lncRNA
GGAUGCUUUUGCCCUGGGGUUGGGGAGAAUGCCCUCCCCCUGUUGCUCCUGGAACCUCUGAGUGCCGGAGCUCUGACCCAAUAAUGCUGGGAGUGCUGGCGGUGCCACGGGCUGCCCCCAGGCAGGGUGCCCAGGAUGAUCGUGUCCUUAUGGAUGGCAUACAUUGCAGCUCGGAAAGGCACCGGCGUGCAUACUGCCGCCAGUGACACACCAGAUGGCCCUGCGACGGAGUUUGAUGCGCCUUCCAUGGUCAGUUGGUGUCUGCCCAAGGGUGAAGAGCAGAUCUCCGGGUUAUUCAGGAGGAUGCUGGAAAUGUGGACGGGGCUGUGGGCAGGGCAGAGGGCAGAUCAGCGAGCAGAGCCGAAUGCAGAGCGCACAUCAGCUCCUUCAGGCUCCCCACAUCUCAGCAGUCCACGCUCACAGGAUAAUGCUAACUUGGAGACGCAGACGUCUGAGCAGAUGUUCCUAAAGGACACGGUCCGCAUCUUCACGUGGAGCAAGGCCUGUUGUGUGCAUCACGUCUCGAGCGUGCCGGAGGAUGAGGAGACGGAGAACAGGCCGGAGCAAACAGAAAACGACAUGCCCCAGCUGCUGCUCCAGGACAGGCCGGACCUCACGAUGGAUGCCAUGAUGGAUGCUGCAACAAGAAGCAUGACGGAUAUGAUGACAGACACUGACAUCCAGUUUGACUUCCCUAAAGAGAACUAGGAGGUCUCUGUUCUCCUCCCCUUUCCCAGCUGUGUCUGAAGCUGUUUC